rnacentral:rRNA from 1 species
UACGUAGGGUGCAGGCGUUAAUCGGAAUUACUGGGCGUAAAGCGUGCGCAGGCGGUUUGCUAAGACAGAUGUGAAAUCCCCGGGCUUAACCUGGGAACUGCAUUUGUGACUGGCGGGCUAGAGUAUGGCAGAGGGGGGUAGAAUUCCACGUGUAGCAGUGAAAUGCGUAGAGAUGUGGAGGAAUACCGAUGGCGAAGGCAGCCCCCUGGGCCAAUACUGACGCUCAUGCACGAAAGCGUGGGGAGCAAACAGG